AUGUUGUCCGAGUACAAGGACACCGUCGAGCGCCGCUACUACACGCUCACCGGGGAGGUCCCCGAGGACGAGGUCAUCGAGCGCAUCAUCUCUAAGGGCCGCGGCGAGGAGAUCAUGAGCGCCGCAGUCGCCGAGCACGGCAAGGGCGCCGUGCUCGCCGCGCUCAACGAGAUCCAGGACCGCCACGACGCCGCCAGGGAGGUGGAGCGCAGCCUCCUCGAGCUCCACCAGGUGUUCCUCGACAUGGCUGUCGUCGUGGAGGCGCAGGGGGAGAAGAUCAACGACAUCGCGCACCACAUGAGCAACGCCAGGGACUACGUCCACUCCGGCAACAAGGAGCUCGGCAAGGCCCGCGAGCACCAGCGCGGCAGCCGCAAGUGCCUCUGCAUCGGCAUCAUCCUGCUGCUGCUCCUCAUCCUCAUCGUCAUCGUCCCCAUCGCCACCAGCCUCAGGAGGUCAUGA
rnacentral:rRNA from 1 species